rnacentral:tRNA from 1 species
GGACAGAUGGUCGAGCGGUUUAAGGCACCGGUCUUGAAAACCGGCAAGGGGGUGACUCCUUCGCGAGUUCGAAUCUCGCUCUGUCCGCCA